rnacentral:tRNA from 1 species
GCCCCCGUAGCUCAGAUGGAUAGAGCAGCCGCCUCCUAAGCGGCAGGCCACCUGUUCGAAUCGGGUCGGGGGCG